AAGCGAGCAACAUCUCUCUAUAGAACCUGCGCUGCUAAAAACCGGGUGUCAGCACUAUUUUAGGAGCAUCACUCACUUAUGCGCUUCUGAUGGAUCCGAAUCUCCGAAUAAAAUUUUCGUUAGGAAAUAUUUUUUUUUUUUUUACAAAAUGGUGUUCCCACCAUCAAUGCCUGGCGGGAAGAGGGCCUGUCUGACAAUUUGGGACACACGUCCCCAAUCUCCGGAUCUUGCUUUAACUUCCACUGUUCCUGAUGACUGCCAUUUCUCAAUUACAUUCCAAACAGAGGAUAUUGACAUCUGAAAACAUUUUGCUAUCUUCUUAUAGCCUUCUCCAGCUUUGUGAGCAUCAACUCUUUUCAGCUUCAGAUUUCUAGACAACUGCUUAGAAGAACCCAUGGUGCUGAUUGUUGGGGCAAAGUCAGAUGAAUCUGGGCAUUUAUAACCUAUGAGAUUGACAUCACCUGGUCUUCCCAGAUGAUGAUUGAGAACAAUCCAUGACACUGGCAGGUCUCAGCUUUGCCAAGGGGGCAGUGCAUGCUAUAAAUUCUGCAGGGUGCCCAAACUUUUGCAGACACCAUUUUUUUGUUUUCUGUUAUUUUGAAAGUGUAAAUGAUGGAAAUAAAAUCUAACUUUUGU